UACGAAGGGUGCAAACGUUGCUCGGAAUUAUUGGGCGUAAAGCGCACGUAGGCGGCUUGGCAAGUCGGAUGUGAAAUCCCUCGGCUCAACCAAGGAAGUGCAUCCGAAACUGCUGAGCUUGAGUACUUAAGAGGAUCGCGGAAUUCCCGGUGUAGAGGUGAAAUUCGCAGAUAUUCGGAGGAAUACCAGUGGCGCAAGCGGUUAACUGGACGGGCAUUGACGCUCAGAUACGAAAGCAUGGGGAGCAAACAGG
rnacentral:rRNA from 1 species